UGUAAUCAAAACUUCUGGUUUUGAAUUAAGAAUGUCGUUGCAAAUAGUUCAGAUUUUUAUAAUCUCAAAUUCAAUUUUGUAUUUCGAAUAAGUAUACUGAAACUUCUAGCUUCAACUAAUUAUUUAACAUGGAACUUCUGGUCCAAAUGAGAUAUAAAUAAAUAAUUCACAAAGACAAUAAAGUAGUACUAAUUAAAAAACAAAAAAACAAUAAUAAUAACACUAAGUUCUAAAAAUAAAAAUAAAAUAUGAAUCAUAAAAUAGAAGGUUAUAAGAUAAAUUGAAUUUAUCAAACGUUAGGUUCUAAGAUCAAUUGAAUUUAUAGAAUUACAUGUUCUAAUAUGAACAUAUUCGUAAAUUUCUAUUAUAAACUAAAAAUUUUAAAAGGUUUCGAACUUCAAGUUUUAAAGUAUAGAACUUCGGGUUCUAGCAAGUUACAUAACAAAAAGAAAAAAAUUGCCUAUAGAUUGAAUUUGAUCUUGAACAUCAUG
rnacentral:lncRNA from 1 species